GUUUUCAUAUUAAAUUAAUAUUAAAUUUACUGACAACAGGUAAUUACUUUUAGUGGAUCGUUUAUCCACAACAAAACAACAAAACGUUAACAAUAUUUUAAUUAUAAAGUAGAUAGAAUCCUAUAACGCGUUCCUUUUGUUUCAAUGUGCACAAUAUCGACAAAUUAACAGUUUUACUGUAACAGAAAAGGUGCAACCUUCUCCCAUCACCUUGAACAAAAUUAAUCUAUUAAGAAAAUGAUCGAAAAUGACAGCACGUAAUCACUAAAGAAAAAGGGAGGAAAGGGAAGCAAUUUCGGUAUAGAAUGUUCUGUCUUGACAACUGGCGCCCAGAACUCGCGCCUCAUACGCACAUGUACAGUAAUUUUAUUAGCCAAAUGGUUACGAAUCACGAAUGGUUUCAUUUGGGAAAAAACAAAUUAUCACGGGGAGAAAUUGUUACAUUUGAGUAAAAUACGCAAAUGUAACAAUUUAUCCCGUUAUAUUUGCGCUGCGUUGACUAGUAAAAGAGAAUAUUUGCAGAGCGAUUAGUAAUUUUAUUAACUAAAUGGUGACGUAGUGCCAUUAUUACGGAGAUAAACUGUUAUAUUUGGGUAUUUUACUCAAAUGUAACAAUUUCUCCCCGUGAUUCGUAACAAUUUG